rnacentral:rRNA from 1 species
CCUACGGGAGGCUGCAGUGAGGAAUAUUGGUCAAUGGGCGCGAGCCUGAACCAGCCAAGUAGCGUGAAGGAUGACUGCCCUACGGGUUGUAAACUUCGUUUAUAAAGGAAUACAGUGAGGCACGUGUGCCGUUUCGUAUGUACUUUAUGAAUAAGGAUCGGCUAACUCUGUGACAGCAGUCGCGUGAAUACGGAGGGUUCGAGCGGUAUCCGGAGUUAUUGGGUUUUAAGGGAGCGUGGAUGGGUUGUGAAGGCAGUUGUUGAAGUUUGCGGCUCAACCGUAAAAUUGCAAUUGAUACUGGCAGUCUUGAGUGCAGUAGGGGUAGGCGGAAUUCGUGGUGUAGCGGUGGAAUGCUUAGAUAUCACGAAGAACUCCAAUUGCGAAGGCAACUUACUAAACUGCCACUGACAUUGAUGCUCGAAAGUGUGGGUAUCAAACAGGAUUAGAUACCCCUGUAGUC